UCACCACAUUAAAAAGGUGCCUCUUUGCCUAGUUAAGCAAGGGUACAAGAAGCUAGUAGAGCAGAAUGAAGAACAGAGAGAAUUAAUAUCAGCCAGGAAUCUUUCUUGUACUUUGUUUUCACUCUAGAGCAGGGAAGGAUGACCUAGUAACUGGAUGAAACACAGCCACGGCCUGUAGUCCUCCUCCUCUUGGGGGUUCCCUGGGACUGGGGACCCUCAGUCCUAAAUCUUCCUCUUCUAUUGACCAAAUACACCUGACCCGCAAGAGUCUGGCUUUGUGAGUAAGGGAAAGCUCCAAAGCGGAACGAGAAGAGUCCAAACUUGUGCAAUCAUCAGAAUCCGAAAACCUUCACCGAUACGCAGAAAAACUUAGGACUUUGGUGUGGAACGCUGGAGCGAGAGGAGGGCGUAUUUGUGAAACUUCGGCACUGUUAGGGAAACUGUUGUUCAAUCAACCACCCCUCCAGUCUGAAUUAGAAGCGGAGAGUUGAAACCGGAGACUCACCUUGCCUUUCAGAUCAAGGAUAAAAACUGCUGAGGCGGACAUGCUGCUGCUGCUGCACCUACUUCCGCCUCUUCACCGGUUCUCUGCAACCAACUGGCCCAGGGAGCCGUCGAGGUGGCAGCCUGCCGGCACUGACACAGAUGUGGGCGUCAAGAGCACCAAUGCUGGCGGAGCUGCUCCCAGUCCAGAAGAGGUUGGCAGAAGUGAUGGCACUGCAAGAACAGCCAGUGCCCCAGAUUUUGUUUGUUUAUCAUAUUGUUAAAUUUCUACUCCGCCUUUCAUUAAAAAAAUCCCAAGGCGGCUCACAAUAAAAUUUAAAAACAAGAGUAUAAAAAAGACACAUUAAAACAUUGAGCUAAAAAAAUAUAAAAACAGAUUUUGAAGCUCCAAGUACCAUA